UCCUCUGGGUGAAAAACUUUCUCCUAAUAUCCAACCUAAACCUCUCCUGUCCCAGUUUAAAACCAUUCCCCCUUGUCCUAUCACUAUCCACCCUCAUAAACAGUCUGAGUCACGUGUAUCUGGAUUUCAUUGCUCCUACCUCCCUUGGGUAAUUUUUGCCACAGUGCUGAUUCAGGCAGACAAGUCCCAGGUCAGUAUUUGGCUCUUUCCUGCUUAAAUCCUGGCCAAAUGCGUGCAGGACUUGAAGUAUGGCAGGGGCUGCUGGCCACAGCCCUGGAGCGGCACUUUAUAACUGAUGUCUUUCAUUCAGGAAGACGAGAUAUUUGUUUAAAGAGGAGCAGCCAUGCUAACGCUUCAAAGUCAAGUGAAUCUCUUCAGUAGGGAGUGGGAAUGUGGCACUGACAGCACCAACGAGCAGCUGAAAGAAUGUGCCCAAACCCACCCAUUCCAGCCCAUGUUUUCCUCUCUCCCGGCUGCAAACCCAAAGACCGGAGUUAGAUUUCCUGCAGAUCUUCAGUUACAGCUCAGAUCUUUGAGUCAGAUUGGAAAGAAGAAAAAAAAAACUGAAAAACUGCUUCAGCGAGCCAAGGGAGAAGGAAAAAUACAGGAGACUCCAACAUAUUAACUGCAGCUAUUGGCUUGCCCCCUCCUCUCCAACUUCAGUUAUUACUGAGAAUCAAGGAAGUUUGAAAUGCACUUUGCACACAGACUCAGCAUAAAUAACGCUGCUUUGCAUUUCAUCAGCCUUAUUUUCCCCAUGGGUUCACUGUCAUCUCUCAUUUAGGCACCACAGGGACGAUCAGCUUCAGAAAGAAGUUGAGAUGAAAGGCACCAAAACUGUUGUUUCUGUGUUUGCUCCUGCUGCAUUUCAAAUAACGCUGGGACUGAUACGGCUGUUCCCACUGAAUGGUUCCAGCUGAUGUAAGGCCAUGUCCUGCCCAGCGAUCUCUCUCCGUGCCCAAAUGAGGAAUGACAGCCCACUUCUGGGGACGAGGAGUUAAGUGUGAUUCGAUGAUGUCUCACAACGCCUUGAUGAUGAAGAAGAUGUGAAUGAUUACAGCUCAUAGAGAUCUCACAGCUGGGGAAGAGAAUAUUGUUUGUUAGAGGGAUUGCUGUGAAACCAUUCCAUGCAAGCUGCCUUUCUGCCCUGAAUAGCAGGAAGACCCCUCUAUUUCUAACCAAGGAAAGAUCUGCCUUCCCUAUAGCAUACAUCUUUUCUCUGCCUUGCUGUAGUGACUGAUUCUGGAACACCUUUAGGGUGCAACGAGGAUGAAGGGCAAUGCAUUGCAUACUGGUCUGCCCUUCAAAUAAUGGUGUGGCUUUUUGAAAAUGUGAUGGUUUAAAAAAGCAAAAAGAGGAGGAAACCUUUUCUGAUUAAAACUGACCAUAUAUAGACAGAAAAUACCAUAAAAUCAUCAAUGGAAAAGUCAGUGUUUUCUCAAGGAAAAGUAAGAAUUAGAUAUAGGAUUUUCUUUUGUUCUUCUUUGUCUUGAUGCUGACACUCUAAGAUGUCAGCUCCAAUGCUGUGUGCCUGGAAGAGUCUGUUCUUAUUCUUGGGAAAGCCUUGUUUUGCAGGCUCGUGUGUCUGUAGUUCAAGUAAUGAAGAUCACUUUUACACAUCAAUUACAACACGGAAAUGAGUUCCAUGACAGGCGCACCAAAUACGGAGCAUCUUCAAACAGCAGGAGGUGCUUUGGGCGUUGGGAUGGAGAGAAAAUGGAUGGAUGUGACUGCUGUCCAUGCAGGUACCACUUGGAAAAACUGUACAGGAACAGCUUAGCAAGUGAUCUCUUCACCACGGUCUGCUUGGUGUGUCUGUUUAAAUGUCGUAUGAUUGGUGUGCUUAGAUGAAGUACUCCAAUGGCACCUGAUGGAUGAAGUGCUGGGUCUACGCAUACAAAUCACUUCACCCCUCAGCUGAAACCGAAGGGAGAAUGGCAUUACUGAGUUGCAGCUGAUCUGUUGCCCUCGUGAUAUAUCCUGCAGUGUUGGUUUGCUGGAGCUCCGAAUGCAAAGCAGUCUAUUUCUCAUCCUGUUUGCCUUCAUUUUGUUGGUUCUGCUCUGUCUGAAUGGUGACGGAGGGUUGGAAAGGCAGAAGAGGAUGAACUUCCACUUCCAAAUGGUCAACAACAGAAAUGAGAGAUCUGUACAUGGAGACAACUAGCACAGGUUACCCAAAGGCUGGAUUAAAAAGCAAAGACAAAAGCUCAUCAUUGAUGAAGUGGAGCCUCGUCAUGUGAGGUGCCAUAGCAGCACAGACUAAACACACUCUUCCUGCUGCAGGAUGCUUGCAGUGUCAGAGCAGGCAAAGCUUAAGUAAAGCAAAGGAGAGCACAAGCACUGCCUCGCUGAGCCCCUCUGUAACCACGACUGUAACACUAUAAUGGGAUGGAAAGUACUGCAAUAAUAGCAGGGUAGCAAAGUCUUUGGCUACAGCGGAAGAGAAUAAGCCUAAAUGCAGCAGAUACAGAAAAGAAAAAACAAACAAACAACACUGCUUACCUUUGGAAGGCCUCAGCUCAUUUUCCUAUGCAAUGGGAAUGCCACCAUGCAUCUAGAAGGGCUCGUCAUCUCCUGUGGACUUGGCUGCAAGCAGCUUGUCAUGAAGCCAGCUAAAGUGCAGGUUACCAGAGAGCUGCUGAAGUGUUACUUCAAUGCUAGUGUUAUUGUCUUCACAUGGAUAAUUGAUGCUGGAAUAAGUGCUAACCUAAAAUAAAAUGAUAGAAAUUUUCUUUCCUGGACAGCGCUAGUGAUGCUUCAGCUUUUGACUCACAUGAGUGAGCUCAGACCGUGGUUUGCUCUGUGCCUCAAAAAGGAGAACGACCGUAUGAAGCGUGGAUUGCAUCAAUUUAGUUUGGUUUGGAUGGGAUCGGAUUGGUUUUCCUCCCAGCUGUGUGUAACAAAGACAGCUUUAUGCAGUUACACUGCACGGCAAGCUGGAAUUUGAUUUUGUGGACUUGACACGGAUUUCAUUCAACACAGGGAUUUGCAUAAAAUGGCUAAUGGUUUGUGCUGUAGUCACACAAAAGUCAAUAACAACGUCAGGGGAAAAAAGGGCAGAUUGGUGAAGAAUGAGAAUGCCAGCCAGGAUCCUGGCAGCGUGGAGAUGAGGCUGAGGAAAUGCCAACACAGAUGAACAAAGGAGCCCUACGCUGCUGGCACUGAGCAUGAGCCCCAACCAGCCCUGCAGAUAGGAGCUACCUGCAAAGCCAGCCUGAGCGCAGGGCAUGGCAUGGGGGGAGACAGGGAAGCACCAAGGGAAGAGGAGAAAGAUGUUGUAUCUGAAUGCUAGGGCAGAAAGCUUCCGCUUAUUUAUCUGCUUUUGAAUUUUAAUGAUCAGUUCGAGUGAUAAUUACGGAAUUUCUAUAUUUAUAUAAAACCAGCACAUAAAAUAGCACGAUUUGAUAUUUAUGAAGUGCCAGUUUUCCAUAAAUACAGAGAUUUGUUAAUGAGCGCUGGGAACUAUUCAUUAAAAUUCAGAAGUAGAUAAAUAAUGAAUAGGAAUUGCUGUUUAUUCAUUAAAAUUCUCCAAAAAGAAAAAAAGAAGAAAAGAAAGAGAAAAAGAAAAACUCCUCGCUUAUUGUUGCCGAACCUAAGCCUGUUUCAUAAGCAUUUUGUUUUAAUUAAUGCCAUUUGACACUAUUAGUGCCAGAAUGGUAGAGAGUCAUUUGGACAUUGCAGGCUAUAAGUUGGGCUGCAGUAAAGCCAUCCAGGGCCCUGAUGUUAAACCAGUGUGGGCUCCAUUUAAGCAUCCAGGACUGCUGUAGGUGCAUCCCAACUGGGGAAAGAAGGGUCAGUCCUGGGUGCAGCGUUGCUCAUUGCCCAUGGCUGCAGAUCCAUGGAUGUGAAGCUGUGCAAAGAUGCUGUUCUGGAGUUCAGCACUUCUCUUCUGUCUUGACAGCUGAACAAGAUGAUCUUCGAGGUCUUUUCCAACCUGAAAUUGUCAGGUUGUGCAGUUGGAAUGUUGUUGAAUGCAGUGUAGCAGUUGAUACAAACACUGUGUGUGUUAACCCAGAUCAGCAGCUGGGUUAACAAGGACCCUGAUUCUGGGCCAUUCUGAGGUUUGGGGUGAACCUACUUAACAGCUCACAACUGUUUGGUAUCUCUGGAGGUUAAUUUUGAGAGCAAACAACUUGGAGUCAAGAAAAUCCUCAGCCUAUAAAGGGAGCAUCUACAUUUUAGCAGAGCCUCGUGCAAAAGCCUGGGAGAGAUUGAAUGGUGCAGUGACUCCCUGCUUGCUCCCAUUCCUCCAAAGGGGACACAGCACAGCCGAGAGCCAAAACAUAGCAUCGUACCAGGCACUCUGAGGAAAACAAUUCCAUCCCAGCUGAAUGUAAGACAAGGGGUAUGGGAGGAUGCGGUGGAUCUGGUAUGUCUGAUGUGAAAAGCCACUACAGAGCAAAUAGCACCUGCAUACUGAUGUACCUCAGGUUGAUGCUGCAAACCUGCUGGGUGUAGCCCAGUGAAAGAUGGCAGCCAAGGACCUCAGCGCUGCAGAGGUAUUAACAGAGUUACAGGAGCUGUACGUGCAGUGUCACACCUGAUUUUAGACAACUUGCCUUCAGUAUUCAGUGCGCCAUUUCCCUUCGCAGUGGUUGGCUGCAGCACAGAUUUGAACAAAUGAACAUUUAUAGGAUACAGAAUCACAGAAAGGCUUGAGUUGGAAGGGACCUCAAAGACCAUUUAGUUCCAACCCCCCCCCCCCCGCCACGGGGAGGGCUGCCAACCACUACAUCAGGCACCUGAUCGGGUUGCCCAGGGCCCCAUCCAACCUGGACUUGAAUGUGGGGCAUCCACCUUUAAGACUUCAAAAUGCAUUUAAGUGUGUUUAAGAAUUUCAGAUGGUACUUUCAAGCACGCAAGGCUGGUUGGUGCCAGUGAUUUAUGGGGAGCUUGGAGGCAGCGCUGCUUGCCUGGCUGUGUGUGCUGUGGCUGCCUGAAGCCACUGGACCCGCUCUGGUUUCUAUCAGCUGUGGAUGGGUCCCAGAGCCCUGCAGGGUUCCUCUGAGUGACUUGAAGCACAUUCCCUCCCGUGGUGGAUGCGGGCCAGAAUGGAAAUUGAAAAAUGGGAGGAAAGGGCUGGAGACAGACACACUCCUGAGCGAUCCGGUGCCAUAAAAGCAAAUCCCUGUGGAGGCUUCUGGGAUUAUUUAAAAGAGGUGGUAAAUGACUCAGAAUAAAAAUAUAACAUAGUCCAGAAUCACCAGCUGUGUUUUCCUUCGAAUGGUUUAACAGUGAUUGUGUGCUAUGUCUAACAAUGAAAACAGAGCGAAACUCUUCUGCUGGAGUUUGCAGGCUGCCAGACUGCUGGGCAGUGAGAUGCUUGAGGAGGAGAAACUGCUUCAGAGGGGGGUACAGGUCCUGCUGGAUCCCUUCUAGGCAGCUCCAUGGGGGCUCAGUAAGCCCCAUUCCCAGAGAUUAACAUCCUUUGAGAGGAGAUUCACAUUAGUGAGAUUUUUAUUUAGUGGUAGCUGUUAUGGAGGUGAUAAAUACAUGUUAUAUCGAGUGGUUGUAUGCGUAUCAGUGGUUAUUAUCAUUAGGUGUUCAUAACCAACCUGUGCAUCUACUGACCUUGUAAUAAUCUGUACAAAUUGAUUAACUACUUAUCCCAACAUCCUUUCACCAGCCCUUUAGAAGCAGUUUAUGAACACACCCCUAACACAGAACAUUCUCACUCAGCUGUUUUCUUGACCUUGGGGCACAGCGCGAGGAAUCGAGCGCAUUAAUGCCUCAGAAGUCCUGCUCAUGAUUAUCACAAGGCUGAAUCUGUGCGUGGAUCAGUGCGUGCUGCUGCGAGGUUUCCCCAGGACCAGUCAGUGGCUGCGUGUGCAAUUGCUGCUGGCCCACACGCAUCGCUGCACAGCAGCGUGGGGCUGCUCUAGUGCAGAAAAUAGGGCAGGAUGCUGCUGGCAGUGCACUGCUUCCCCCGGAGCCCCCCCCGGUGCCUGCACUGCGCUGCAGGGGGAUGCCUGCUGCCUGCACUGCGGGCUUGGUGCACACAGAUCGCUUCUGAAGCACGGGGGCUGGGAAUCAGGGCAUCUGAGAACAACAACUGAAAGAAGGCAUGACAGGCACUGACCCUUCUGCCAGUUCUCCCUGUGCUCAGAUGCAGCACUGCAUGUGCUAUGUUGGCUCAGCCUCACCCCCACUCCCCUGAGCCUAUUUCUUGGUGUCCCCUGUUCACUUUGACCAUCGGUCCCUUUCCUUGGCUUUGUUAUCAGACCCACAAUCAGGGUUUAGUCAAAAUUGCCUCCAUUUUAUAUGCUUCCUCAAGGAGAUCGGCCAUGUCCAGACCCAUGCCAUGGGGAUGGCGGGGACAGCAGAGGCAGAGUUUCAGCAGACUGCAGCUAUCAGGGUCCAUCCAGCCCAGUGAGAGCAGGGCCAGCAGCACCUCCCUAUGCACCCCUGUGAGGACAAUGCCUUUGGCUGUUCUUUGUAUUUAACACUCACCUGUUUUGCUAUCCAGCUGAACAGAGCAAGCUUGGAGCGUGUGUUCAAUGCUACACAUGCAGAGUUGAACCUUCCACUCAUGUCCAGCUCUACUUCAUAAGACACGGGAGCUCCCAUCAUUACCAUCAGCCAAAAAUCUGCUCAAGCAACUCCACUGAAGGCUCUGGGAGGUGUGGCUUCUGCUCACAGUUUACUUUUUCAUUUGCUGAGCCAACCCCAUGUUCUGCAGGGUGGUGCUCACUGAGCAGCCAGCGCUGGAGCUCUGAGCUCCUUCCUUGGACAUACCGUGAGCCAUGGAUAGCAGUGGUUGGAAUUUGCCAACGUGUGCAGCACAUGUAUGGUGACUGUAUUUUGAAAAAAAAAUACAAUGUGGGAAAAAAAAAGAGAAAAGUAUUUUAAUUAUUUUAAAGGGCAGUAUUUGAAACAGAACCAAAGCCUUAAUUCUAGUAAGACUACCCACUAAUUUCAACCAGCUUCCCAAGCAGCAGCAGGAUUUCACUGGCAACAAAUUAUUUUCAUCACAGAAAUGUUAUCAUUUCAGGUUUUCAGCAGCUCCACUGAUGCAGGUGGUUCAGUUGAAGCCAGGCCGUAACAAAGCUGUUUCCUAAACGGUUCUUCUAAUUUUCAUGGUGAUUACUGCCAGCCAUCACAUUUAGUAGUCGCUUCAACUUCUUUUGGAAAUCUGUUGAUGUUUCCUGGGAUGAUGCUGUGAACACAGUGAGUCUCCGUGUUGCCUGAUGCAGAUUGUGCCUAUCGAGGGCAUAUCUACGCAGUGGCAAACCAUCUGCGAGCAGCCAGGAUUUAUUGUUUCACUGAUUCCUGGAACUGAAAAUAUUAACGACGUAAAAUAUUGAUUUGAGAAAACAAACCAAAGUUGUUUGGUGAGCCCCUCAUUCGGGCGCGAUGCUGAGAUGUCCAUCCAUUCCGUUUGUAUUUAUUGACGAAAUUGGAUAUUUUCCAGCCUCCAGCCCUAUGGACAGCUUCGUAGAUCAGCUCAUAGAAAUUCCAGCUCUGUCUUUGCAAAACGCUGCACAGGGAUCCAUUUUUCCCCAGCAUAUUCCUCCUCCAGGCUUGCAGGAAGCUGGAAAGAGUGGGGAAGCGUGCAUUAUGUGCUACACGGAGCACCAAGCAUGAAAAAUACGCAGCCUAAGCUGAGUAACCUUAUUUCUUCUGAUUUCGUGUGAUCAGGAGGUGCCGUGCUUCCAAUUCAGGAGUAAAUUAGAGCCUGCUUUUCUUUGCCUAUUAAGAAUAACGGUGUGGACAAACACUGCUCCUGAUUUACUCUGUCAGAUCAUGCCCAAGUGGAAGAAGAGCCCUCCUGCACCAUAGCUUUGGGAGCAUCACAGUGGGAUGCAGUGCAGUCACGGGGAACACCAAAAAACCCACUUGUAUGAAGACAUCAGUGACUGGGAGCCUGCAUGACACAUACUCCUGUAGCCACAAGCACACACUGCCAGCCCCCAGGAGGUGACCCCAUCCACCCCCUGUGCCCCUGGAGCAGUUCAUUACAGUGCCCAGCUUUUCUAAGUGAGAUUUAUGGCUUGCCUGGGGAUAAUCAUUGCAAGGAAAAAGAUCAAUGAUAUGCAAGUCAGUGGGAAAAGCAGCAAGUUCCAAUCGCUGCCUCGUUGGAAGGCAUCAAACAUCUUCAUAAACUAUUUAAAGGUAGAAAUGAUCAUUAACCUUUGCUGUAGCCCAUUGCACACAGAGCAGUCAGUGCCGUUUAGGAUGACACACGGCUCAGCUGUGCAUGUCAGUGCUCUCAGGUCAUCUGCCCACCAGCUCUGUAUUGGAGGAGGUUUUGGAUGGGCAAGCCAAACAAAGCAGAGCUCGUUGCUCACUCUUCAGCCUUGCUUUGCAUCGACUCGCCGCUGCAUCACUUUACAGCCACCUCAAAUUAACAGCCGUGGUUAUUUUCCUUAGUCAUUAUUAUCCUUAAUAUGGCACGAAAGCACUUCAUUUUUCCUAUGGGACAAACCAUGACCCAGAUUCUCGUGUGCAGAGAUGGGAGAGGAGCAGCUCACCCGGGCUCAGCCUCUUUCUUUGAAAGCACAUUGAGGUGACAUCAGUGUCCCUGUGGUCCCACACCGCAUCCCUCUGCUGUGAGGACUCAUAGCACUCACUGCUAUGUUCUGAGUGGGAGAUGGUGUUGACAAUUCCAAUCCCACCUCCUUUCCUCCCGGCCUCUCUGAUGCUGGAUCAAUGACAUUUUUCUGAAGCUGCCUACAUUUGGUGUUUUACUGCCAACUGCAUGUGGCCCUCUCAUUUUAAUUACUUCUGCUGUGUCUAGCACUAUAUGCUCUAUAAUGUUUCAGAGGCUGCUUGCAAUUAAAAUAAAAAAUAAGUAAUACAUUACAGGUUACAACCCAGUCAAUCUCCAUGCAUUGUAAUUCACAGCAGCUUUAUAUGCUGAGCUUUCCAAGUGGCUUAUAGCCCACAUAAUAACAACAAAACCCUGAGCCACAGGAAAAGCAAGGCAGAGAUAUUGUCUUUCUGAGUACCUUUCCUGGUGGGUGCUUUAUUUUUCCAGUUCCUUUGCUCUUGAAAGAAAAUGUUGACAUACUUAACUUCCCAUCUCCUGGUUUCCAGGGGACUCAAUGCAAUCAGGCUCCUUGCUGGGGAGGGGCUAUGCUUAUACCCUGUUGUGCAUUAGUGAUGUCUGGGGCCAACUCCCACCUUGCUGUAACCUCCUUUCAUGUCAUUGUGGAGAGCAAUGAGGUCUCCCCUGAGCCUCCUCUUCUCCAGGCUGAACUAUCCCAGUUCCCUCAGCCACUCUCUAUGAGACUAAAAGGGCUGGGAGGAAAUAAGCACAUAUAGAUUAGAGUAUUUUGGCUUCAUGUCAACAAAACACAUAAGCAUGCGCUUAACUUUACGCACUACCACGGUUCUACCCAUGAAAAACACGGACAAAAUGUCCUCCUGUUCUCCUGCUGGGUAAUUCUAACAAUUAUUUCUCAUUGGUUUUUAUUUUUCAGUCCUCCUUUCUCCCCACAAACUCUUUCAGCCUAUCUCAGAGAACGUGGAAAAGCCUAAAUGAAACAACUCAUGCAGGGAAGCACAAGGGGGAUUUUUGUUUAGAAAUCCUAGCAGCAGAUUUCCAUUAUUAUAAAUACAGGCUGAAUUCACUGGUGACAAUAUACAACAUUUAAUUUACAUGUAAAGUGACAAAUUAAAAUCUGAAAUUCC